rnacentral:lncRNA from 1 species
AAAGUCUAGUGUGGAGACAGAAAAGUGAACAGAUUCUGAUAGUUGCCAGGAUACAGGGAAGUAGAGUGUGAGAUGGGAGUGAGCCCCAGAAGAGACAUCUAAAACAGAUUCUGGCACCAGGAGGAGGCUGGAGCAGGUGAACUUUUGAAAGAGAUGAGGUCUGCACCCAGCCAGCCAAGUGAAAUAGCAGGGGAGAUGAUCCUGCGGAAGAAGCAGCUAGAGCACAGACAUGGCAUCACGAGAUGUGCAGCCUUCUCUGGAACUGCAUGGAAAUUUGUUCAAUAGGGAGUUCUUGGUGACCAAGUGAUGGAGGAAGAGAACACUCAGGCCUAAUCUGCACGUGGUUCUGCACUACAGGCAGACACUACUCAAAAGGGCACAGCUAAGAUCAAAAUGGACAGAGGAUGCACAAAAUCCCCACUCUGAGGUGGUGUUGAAGAACAAGGGUGAAGGGAAACCCUCUACAUACACAGAAUUUUGAGCACUGCACCUGGUUGUCCAUUUUGCUUGGAAGGAGAGAUAUAUAGAAGUACAAGUCUAUACUGAUUCAUGGGUCAUGGCUAACACUUGGCUGGAAAGUCAGGAGAUUUGAAAGGAAUGUGAUUGAAAAAUCGGUGACAAAGAGAUCUGGAAGGAAAGGUUGACAGAUCUCUUCAAAUGGGUAUGGCAUGUGUAGGUAUUUAUGUUCUAUGAAAAUGCUCUCCAAAGAGUGAACUCAACAGAGGAGUAUUUGAAUAAUCAAGUGGAAAGGAUAAGCCUUUCUGUGGACAUGAGUCAGCCUGGUUCUCCAGCAAUUACUGUCAUUUCCCAAGUGGCUCGUGAAUAAAUUGGCCACGGAGGCCAAGAUGAAAGUUACGCAGGGGCACGGCAACAUAGAUGUCUACUUCCCAGGGCCCACCUGGCUAUGGCCACUGCAGAGAGCCCAGUCUGCUAGCAGCAGAGGUCAACGGUGAAUACCUGACACAGCACCAUUCCCAGCUACUGACUAACCACCUAUUGGCAGGGUGAUUAUUACAUUAAAUCACUUCUCUCGUUGAAGGAGCAGUGCUUUGUUCUUAUUGGAAUAGACAUUGACUUUGGAUACACACUUGCUUUCCCUGCCCACAAUGCUUCGCCAAAACCACUACGAAAACCAUACACAGAAUGAUUUAUGCACUAUCACGAUAUUUCACACAGCAUCACUUCUGAUCAAGAAACUUACUUCCAAGCAAAUGAAGUGCAGCAAUUGCUUCAUAUUGUUCACAGGUCUUAUCAUGUUCAUCAUCACCCCAAAGUAGGUGGCUUGACAGAAUGAUGGAAUAACGUUUUGAAGACUCAGUUAUGUCCCUAUGACAUUAGGUUCUACUGGCCUGGAGGUCUUAGGCCAAAGGGAAGAGUGUGUCCACCAGGGCACUCACUGAUGACUCUGUGGAACUGGAGUGCCCCCUUUAACUCAUGCCAUUGAAUCAACAGGCAAAGAAGGGAGUGAUUGAACCUGAUUGGCUUCUACACAAAGAGCAGCUGGGCCUGUAACUGCUUUGCCUCCCCCUGGAUUCUCCUCCAGCUCCUCCAACUCCUGGGCCAGGAGACUAGAGGGAAUCGACAUUACCUAUUGAAUUUUGAGAGCAGCUUCUUCUGAGAGAAACAUGGAAUGGUAUCAGUCUGAAUAAAGGAAAUUCAUGGUCACCGUUUUUCCUCAGCAUGUUGUACUCCCAGUUAUAUAGUUCUUAUAUGUACGAACCACCCAGCAAGCCUUUGAAAAGAGAAAGAGGAAAGAGAAGAAAAUUCUAAUUCAACUCUCCAUAUAGCUAAACAGCUAUCCAACAGACCUAGGUGAAGUCUUCAGCUCUCUGAUUUCCCCGAAGCCAGUGCGCUGGGUCAUGGGGCUGGCUGACCUCCCAGCACCACCUACCUCCUCUCUAUGAGAUGCCAUCAGAUCCCACCCAAAGGAGCCAGUCGUCCCUGUGAAACAAUAAGCAAUUCUUACGAGAUACAAGUGGACCUCUGUUACUGUGGCACAGGAAGGCUCGAUAAGAUCUUCCAGCCACAGCAUUCUUUUGUGUCAGCAGACGCAAGUGGGAUGUUCCUUCUGCAGCUCUUACGGAGCAAGAGGAAGCAGGCUUUGAAACACAAUGUUCAUUGAAAUCGGCUUUCAUCUAAGGAAUCCCAUGGUGGCUCCUGGUCCACGCGAUGUGCAUUCUGUCUGCAGCUGGGCUCUCCUGAUGCAUUUCCGUUGUUUGUUCUAGGGGUAAGGCAGCACCUUUAUGAGACUCACUCUUACUAGGUAAAGGGCAUCACAUUGUGCUAGGCAGAGCAUUCUGUGUCAGGAUGUCUCCAGUGAGUCUGGAGCCUAGAAGGAACAUUUAAAAAAAAAAAAAAAAAAAA